UGUCGGUAGUCGUGAAAAUCCGAAUGAGCAUCGGUCGGUAACUCUGAUAUGCCGAUGAUCAUUGGUGUGAGAUCAGCCAAGUUGUCAUAGUUAAGUUUGUUAAUGGCUGAGGUUAGCCAACUGUCAGUUGGCCAAUCAAUUGACAGUCGGCAGAUCGUGCUUAUCAGGCCGAUCAAAAAUCAUAAUCGAGGAGUCAGCU
rnacentral:lncRNA from 1 species